rnacentral:lncRNA from 1 species
UCACUUGCAAAUUAUGAAUAGAAAAUUCAUUUUUUUACUAGACUUAGCACAAUAAUCUAAUCUAGAAAAAUAACAAAAUAGAAUUCAACUAGAAAAAAACAAAUACUAGUGAAGAAAUUAUCUAAAAACUUUCAACUAUUAUUAGUAUAGCAUAUGAACCCAUUGUGUGUGAACAGUGACAAUAUCCGCUAUACAGAGGAAAAAAGCUUACAUAUUAAUAGAACAACACCAAAAUAAAUUUAAAAUAGAAAUGCACAUUACAUAUACAGUAAAAAAAUUGCAUAGAGGAAUGACAAAAAUUAGUGAACAAAACCCCCAAAAAUUUCAAAUAAAAAAACACUUACACUAUAAGGGAUACCCGUUAUACAAACCAAAAAACAAAAUUUAAGUUUUUUUUGCAUAAAGAAGAAUAUGACACUUCCUUCCAUCGUCCAUAAAAUUUUGGAUUUACCUUAUGAACAAUAACAGACAAGUAAUCCAUACAAAAACACUCAUAAAAACAAAAAUGGCGAAGAGGCAGAGAGGUGUGUGU